GGGUUGUGAGGUUAAGUGACUAAGCGUACACGGUGGAUGCCUAGGCAGUCAGAGGCGAUGAAGGGCGUGCUAAUCUGCGAAAAGCGUCGGUAAGGUGAUAUGAACCGUUACAACCGGCGAUACCCGAAUGGGGAAACCCAGUGUGUUUCGACACACUAUCAUGUCAUGAAUACAUAGUGGCAUGAGGCGAACCGGGGGAACUGAAACAUCUAAGUACCCCGAGGAAAAGAAAUCAACCGAGAUUCCCCCAGUAGCGGCGAGCGAACGGGGAGGAGCCCAGAACCUGAAUCGGCUUGUGUGUUAGUGGAAGCGUCUGGAAAGUCGCGCAGCAAAGGGUGAUAGCCCCGUACACUAAAAUGCACAGGUCGUGAGUUCGAUGAGUAGGGCGGGACACGUGACAUCCUGUCUGAAUAUGGGGGGACCAUCCUCCAAGGCUAAAUACUCCUGACUGACCGAUAGUGAACCAGUACCGUGAGGGAAAGGCGAAAAGAACCCCGGCGAGGGGAGUGAAAUAGAACCUGAAACCGUGUACGUACAAGCAGUGGGAGCACCUUCGUGGUGUGACUGCGUACCUUUUGUAUAAUGGGUCAGCGACUUAUAUUUUGUAGCAAGGUUAACCGUAUAGGGGAGCCGUAGGGAAACCGAGUCUUAACUGGGCGAAUAGUUGCAAGGUAUAGACCCGAAACCCGGUGAUCUAGCCAUGGGCAGGUUGAAGGUUGGGUAACACUAACUGGAGGACCGAACCGACUAAUGUUGAAAAAUUAGCGGAUGACUUGUGGCUGGGGGUGAAAGGCCAAUCAAACCGGGAGAUAGCUGGUUCUCCCCGAAAGCUAUUUAGGUAGCGCCUCGUGAACUCAUCUUCGGGGGUAGAGCACUGUUUCGGCUAGGGGGCCAUCCCGGCUUACCAAACCGAUGCAAACUCCGAAUACCGAAGAAUGUUAUCACGGGAGACACACGGCGGGUGCUAACGUCCGUCGUGAAGAGGGAAACAACCCAGACCGCCAGCUAAGGUCCCAAAGUCAUGGUUAAGUGGGAAACGAUGUGGGAAGGCAUAGACAGCCAGGAUGUUGGCUUAGAAGCAGCCAUCAUUUAAAGAAAGCGUAAUAGCUCACUGGUCGAGUCGGCCUGCGCGGAAGAUGUAACGGGGCUAAACCAUGCACCGAAGCUGCGGCAGCGACGCUUAGGCGUUGUUGGGUAGGGGAGCGUUCUGUAAGCCGUUGAAGGUGGCCUGUGAGGGUUGCUGGAGGUAUCAGAAGUGCGAAUGCUGACAUAAGUAACGAUAAAGCGGGUGAAAAGCCCGCUCGCCGGAAGACCAAGGGUUCCUGUCCAACGUUAAUCGGGGCAGGGUGAGUCGACCCCUAAGGCGAGGCUGAAAAGCGUAGUCGAUGGGAAACAGGUUAAUAUUCCUGUACUUGGUGUUACUGCGAAGGGGGGACGGAGAAGGCUAGGCUAGCCGGGCGACGGUUGUCCCGGUUUAAGCGUGUAGGGGGUGUGACCUGGUAAAUCCGGUUACAUAUCAACCCUGAGGCGUGAUGACGAUGCACUACGGUGCAGAAGUAGUUGAUGCCCUGCUUCCAGGAAAAGCCUCUAAGCUCCAGGUAACAUUGAAUCGUACCCCAAACCGACACAGGUGGUCAGGUAGAGAAUACCAAGGCGCUUGAGAGAACUCGGGUGAAGGAACUAGGCAAAAUGGUGCCGUAACUUCGGGAGAAGGCACGCUGGCAUGUAGGUGAAGUCCCUUGCGGAUGGAGCUGAAGCCAGUCGAAGAUACCAGCUGGCUGCAACUGUUUAAUAAAAACACAGCACUGUGCAAACACGAAAGUGGACGUAUACGGUGUGACGCCUGCCCGGUGCUGGAAGGUUAAUUGAUGGGGUCAGCCGCAAGGCGAAGCUCUUGAUCGAAGCCCCAGUAAACGGCGGCCGUAACUAUAACGGUCCUAAGGUAGCGAAAUUCCUUGUCGGGUAAGUUCCGACCUGCACGAAUGGCGUAAUGAUGGCCAGGCUGUCUCCACCCGAGACUCAGUGAAAUUGAACUCGCUGUGAAGAUGCAGUGUACCCGCGGCAAGACGGAAAGACCCCGUGAACCUUUACUAUAGCUUGACACUGAACAUUGAGCCUUGAUGUGUAGGAUAGGUGGGAGGCUUUGAAGCGUGGACGCCAGUCUGCGUGGAGCCAUCCUUGAAAUACCACCCUUUAAUGUUUGAUGUUCUAACUCGGCCCCAUAAUCUGGGGUGAGGACAGUGUCUGGUGGGUAGUUUGACUGGGGCGGUCUCCUCCCAAAGAGUAACGGAGGAGCACGAAGGUUAGCUAAUCACGGUCGGACAUCGUGAGGUUAGUGCAAAGGCAUAAGCUAGCUUGACUGCGAGAGUGACGGCUCGAGCAGGUACGAAAGUAGGUCUUAGUGAUCCGGUGGUUCUGAAUGGAAGGGCCAUCGCUCAACGGAUAAAAGGUACUCCGGGGAUAACAGGCUGAUACCGCCCAAGAGUUCAUAUCGACGGCGGUGUUUGGCACCUCGAUGUCGGCUCAUCACAUCCUGGGGCUGAAGUAGGUCCCAAGGGUAUGGCUGUUCGCCAUUUAAAGUGGUACGCGAGCUGGGUUUAGAACGUCGUGAGACAGUUCGGUCCCUAUCUGCCGUGGGCGUUGGAAGAUUGAGAGGGGUUGCUCCUAGUACGAGAGGACCGGAGUGAACGCACCACUGGUGUUCGGGUUGUCAUGCCAAUGGCAUUGCCCGGUAGCUAAGUGCGGAAAAGAUAAGCGCUGAAAGCAUCUAAGCGCGAAACUUGCCUCAAGAUGAGUCUUCCCUGGGCCUUUAAGGCCCCUGAAGGAACGUUUAAGACUAAGACGUUGAUAGGCUGGGUGUGUAAGUGCAGCGAUGCAUUGAGCUAACCAGUACUAAUGAUCCGUGAGGCUUAACCUUACAACACCGAAGGUGUUU
rnacentral:rRNA from 1 species